UGGGGAAUAUUGCACAAUGGGCGCAAGCCUGAUGCAGCCAUGCCGCGUGUAUGAAGAAGGCCUUCGGGUUGUAAAGUACUUUCAGCGGGGAGGAAGGUGUUGAGGCUAAUAACCUCAGCAAUUGACGUUACCCGCAGAAGAAGCACCGGCUAACUCCGUGCCAGCAGCCGCGGUAAUACGGAGGGUGCAAGCGUUAAUCGGAAUUACUGGGCGUAAAGCGCACGCAGGCGGUCUGUCAAGUCGGAUGUGAAAACCCCGGGCUCAACCUGGGAACUGCAUUCGAAACUGGCAGGCUAGAGUCUUGUAGAGGGGGGUAGAAUUCCAGGUGUAGCGGUGAAAUGCGUAGAGAUCUGGAGGAAUACCGGUGGCGAAGGCGGCCCCCUGGACAAAGACUGACGCUCAGGUGCGAAAGCGUGGGGAGCAAACA
rnacentral:rRNA from 1 species